GGAGGUAUAGCUCAGCUGGUUAGAGCGCUUGCUUGACAUGCAAGAGGUCAUAGGUUCAAGUCCUAUUAUCUCCACCA
rnacentral:tRNA from 1 species